GACGAACGCUGGCGGCGUGCUUAACACAUGCAAGUCGAACGGAAAGGCCCUGCUUUUGUGGGGUGCUCGAGUGGCGAACGGGUGAGUAACACGUGAGUAACCUGCCCUUGACUUUGGGAUAACUUCAGGAAACUGGGGCUAAUACCGGAUAGGAGCUCCUGCUGCAUGGUGGGGGUUGGAAAGUUUCGGCGGUUGGGGAUGGACUCGCGGCUUAUCAGCUUGUUGGUGGGGUAGUGGCUUACCAAGGCUUUGACGGGUAGCCGGCCUGAGAGGGUGACCGGCGACAUUGGGACUGAGAUACGGCCCAGACUCCUACGGGAGGCAGCAGUGGGGAAUAUUGCACAAUGGGCGGAAGCCUGAUGCAGCAACGCCGCGUGCGGGAUGACGGCCUUCGGGUCGUAAACCGCUUUCGCCUGUGACGAAGCGUGAGUGACGGUAAUGGGUAAAGAAGCACCGGCUAACUACGUG
rnacentral:rRNA from 1 species